rnacentral:misc_RNA from 1 species
UUUUUUGGAAUUAUACUUUCUGAAACUGAGAUUAAGGAAAAGUGAGCCUUCUAGUCUUGGUAAUUUUGUGUGGUGGUGCAAAAAAUUCAUAUAAUUAUGUAUAUUUGAGAAUGAUAGAUUCAUAUGUUUGACAACUUUAGGUUGUGUAACUUUUAAUUAUUAGUACUUUUUUAUUUAAUGCUGCUCAGGGGGCACCAAAUAC